UAAGAGAAACAUUCCUAAUUAUAACAAGGUUAACCUACUCUAAUCAGCAAGCAUCAAGAUUAAUCACAAAAAAGGAAUAAAAUCUAAAUUAACUUCAGAUUAAUCAUGGAUUAAGAAGGAAUUAAAUAUGAACAUGGGUCUGGGGUGUUAAUGGAUCGAAGAGUGUGUGUAGAAAUUCGGAACAGCUUUCUUGGGCCAAAGGCCCAAGUCCUUAACGUGAGAACCCAAUUCUCCAUGAAUGUGUGUCAGCCAAGAGAUUCCUGAAGAAACUCACGAAUUCGCACGAACCACCCAAUUCCGGUAAACUGCCUAAGCUUGCGGCCGUGAAAAUGGUUCCGGUGAAAACACCCAUGAGCUCGAGAAUUCAAAGAAUGUGCGACGACGGAUUGUUGGAUCGGUGAGUAGAUUCAAUGUAGAAUCGAGAACCUACAGUCAAUACUCUUGCACGCGGUGUCGAAGAGAGACGAAUCAGGGAUGAAUCAAUGAUUGAAAGCGAAGAACUUACCGUAGCGAGGUUCUCGAUGAUUAGAGGUCCUGCUAUGGGAAUUUCCUCUGGUUCGGGGUUGAUGAGAUUCUCAGCAAUUCGGUCCUUUUUUGAAGGCUUCAAGGAGGUGUUUGAGGAUUUUUUCGUAGAAAAAGAAGUUGUUCGUAUCUGGCUUUGGGUUCUUGUACGGAUUUGAAAGAGGUUCACAAUUUCUUGAAGCUUUUGGAGGAGUUCUUCGUGUGGAUCGCAGCGGUGAUAGUUUUGUUGAUUGAAGGCUCUUUGCAGGUUUAUUUGGUUGUGGAGAAAGCUAUGUGGAGAGGGUGAGGAAGAUGGUGGUAGCAGGGUGAAGGAGUUGGUUUUCUGUGAGGUCGAGGGUGAAGGGUGUUAUGGAAGGUUGUGAAGAAGUGAAGUUGAAGAAGUGAAGGUGAAGUGAAGUUGAAGAAGUGAAGGUGAAGUGAAGUUUUCUGAAGUGAAGGUGAAGUGAAGUUCCUUAUGGGGGUUGUGGCUAAUCGUUCUUUAGAGUGGAGAGUGAAGAGUGUUCUAUAUUUCUGUGAAGUGGUGGUUCAAUUCAGUUACGAGUUUGUUAGUUGGUUAGAGUUUCAGUUAGAAAAUGGAGGAGUUUUCGGGAAUUCGAUUCGAGUUUGUUUCGACAGUUUUGGUUGUCACAGUUGGGUUUUUUCAAUUUUUGUUAAAGGUAUUGUUGCUUCUGUUUUAAAGAAGGAAGCAAAAAUGCCCAUUUUUUCCAAUUCAAACUGUUUUUCUUGUGGGUUGAAUAAAGAGUAUAUUGUUUGGUUUUGUUUA